ACUGCGUGAAGUCGGAAUCGCUAGUAAUCGCGGAUCAGCAUGCCGCGGUGAAUACGUUCCCGGGGAUUGUACACACCGCCCGUCACACCAUGGGAGUUGGUAACGCCCGAAGCCAGUGACCCAACCUUAAGAGGAGGGAGCUGUCGAAGGUGGGACCGAUAACUGGGGUGAAGUCGUAACAAGGUACC
rnacentral:rRNA from 1 species